rnacentral:rRNA from 1 species
GGGAAUAUUGCACAAUGGGCGCAAGCCUGAUGCAGCCAUGCCGCGUGUAUGAAGAAGGCCUUAGGGUUGUAAAGUACUUUCAGUUGGGAGGAAGGCGUUGAUGCUAAUAUCAUCAACGAUUGACGUUACCAACAGAAGAAGAACCGGCUAACUCCGUGCCAGCAGCCGCGGUAAUACGGAGGGUGCAAGCGUUAAUCGGAAUUACUGGGCGUAAAGCGCACGCAGGCGGUUGAUUAAGUUAGAUGUGAAAUCCCCGGGCUUAACCUGGGAAUGGCAUCUAAGACUGGUCAGCUAGAGUCUUGUAGAGGGGGGUAGAAUUCCAUGUGUAGCGGUGAAAUGCGUAGAGAUGUGGAGGAAUACCGGUGGCGAAGGCGGCCCCCUGGACAAAGACUGACGCUCAGGUGCGAAAGCGUGGGGAGC